rnacentral:piRNA from 1 species
UACCAAUAAAGCAACGAUCUUAUCAUUGAG